GAUGAACGCUAGCGGCAGGCUUAAUACAUGCAAGUCGUGGGGCAGCAUGAGUGUAGCAAUACAUUUGAUGGCGACCGGCAAACGGGUGCGGAACACGUACACAACCUUCCUAUAAGUGGGGAAUAGCCCAGAGAAAUUUGGAUUAAUACCCCGUAACAUAAUGAUGUGGCAUCACAUUAUUAUUAUAGCUUCGGCGCUUAUUGAUGGGUGUGCGGCUGAUUAGAUAGUUGGCGGGGUAACGGCCCACCAAGUCUACGAUCAGUAGCUGAUGUGAGAGCAUGAUCAGCCAAACGGGCACUGGAGCACGGGCCCGACUCCUACGGGAGGCAGCAGUAAGGAAUAUUGGUCAAUGGACGCAAGUCUGAACCAGCCAUGCCGCGUGAAGGAUUAAGGUCCUCUGGAUUGUAAACUUCUUUUAUCUGGGACGAAAAAAGGCGAUUCUUCGUCACUUGACGGUACCAGAUGAAUAAGCACCGGCUAACUCCGUGCCAGCAGCCGCCGUAACAC
rnacentral:rRNA from 1 species